AUUGAACGCUGGCGGCAGGCCUAACACAUGCAAGUCGAGCGGAGCGGCGGACGGGUGAGUAAUGCCAAGGAAGCGAACCGGUAGUGGGGGAUGAGGUCCGGACAGGGAAGGUAAUACAACAUACUAUAAGAUGAGCUUAGGUGGGAUUAGCUAGUUGGUGGGGUAAAGGCCUACCAAGGCGACGAUCCGUAACUGGUCUGAGAGGAUGAUCAGUCACACUGGAACUGAGACACGGUCCAGACUCCUACGGGAGGCAGCAGUGGGGAAUAUUGGACAAUGGGCGCAAGCCUGAUCCAGCCAUGCCGCGUGUGUGAAGAAGGUCUUCGGAUUGUAAAGCACUUUAAGUUGGGAGGCGUUACCAACAGAAGAAGCACCGGCUAACUCCGUGCCAGCAGCCGCGGUAAUUC
rnacentral:rRNA from 1 species